CGGGAAACACCACUGAACCCCAGGUCUUCGCCACUCCCCUCGCGCGCCUCGCCGGAAAAUAAUGGUUCACGAACUUCACUGCGCCCUCUGUUUUUCUGGGUUUUCUGUUCACGAACUUCACAGCUGUCCAUUUUCUACUUCCUCGCACAGAGACCAGUCACCAACAUCGUCGUCCUUCUUGGUGGUGGUGGCCCUGGUGGGAGAGGAUAAUGGCUUGGGAUAAUGGGAUGAAGGCUAGUAGUAUUUCAGUGAGGGAGAAGACCUGUUUGGAUAGCAUGAUAGCAUAUGUUUGGA
rnacentral:lncRNA from 1 species